CACGAUCAACGAAGAGUUCUCAUAUUCAUGUCACAUGAGAACUCAUGGUUGGGAUAAUGCAAAGUAGUCCUUUAACCUGAGGCAUCACAGUUGUCUUCUGGUUAAGUCCUUGAUCUUUGAUUAUGUCAAAGUCACCCUAUCGGGUGUCCACGGCAUCGUCGGGGUUAAGCCACUUAGUCAUGGAGGCAAGUGAAUGCGCAACAAGGGAUCUCUAACCUUCAAAUGGUUUUAGGGAGAAUACUCUAUAAUAUGAUUUAGAACCUCUGGCCAGAGUAUGAAUGAGAUUUAGGAAUGCGUUCCAAAUCACAUUCAAGGAAAUCAUAUAAGCACACGAAUCACAUUGGAUAGUAGACAUGAAUAAAUAAACUAUCAAACCAAACAAUGUGGUCAAGAGUAUUAGAUUAGAGAAAGACCGUAUUGCAUUUGUAAUCCUAAACUGAAUAGGUUCUCCACCUCUUCUGAUUAGCUUGGGUAACCAUGAUAUACUGCUAGGUGUCACUCAUGGUUUGUGGAAGCCCUAAACGUGUGUAAUCACUAAAGGGAGAAUUGAAAGUAAGUUUCAAUUCACAAUCGAUGUAAAAUGGUUUUAAUCGCCCACUGCCUCGCUAAAAGGAACCUAAUGGAUCGUACACCGUGUAAGGUGGAGAUUGAAGAAAACAAUGGAGAUGAGUAAGAAUAAUUAAAUGGUUUAAUUAUUUAUGGCAAGGAUUAAUUAAUAUGUUAAUUAAUCAAACGAAUAAAGUUCGUUAAAGACCUCGGGAUAGUUUUGGGCCUCAAGGCCCAAUGGGCUUCGAACGUCAAGUCCAUUGACUUAAGUUGUAUGACAACUUAAUUCACAAAGGCCCAAAAGCCCAAACAAAACCCCAUGGUCGGCCAUUUAGAGGAAGGGUAGUGAACUUGCUUUAAUUACAAGUUUGCCACUCAAAUGAAUAAAGGUAUAAAUAUGACUUUAUAGCCAAAAUUCAUUAAGGGUUUCCUUUGGAGAAAAUUGGUGAGAACUUGUCUCUCCAUUUCUCUCUAAAGAGGCCGGCCCCUUGGAGGGUGUAUCUAGCCAUACUAACUACUACAAGGUCACUCAUUUCUUCUCCAAUCUAACCUUGGUGAAGAUACUUAGAGGUUCUCAAUUUUGGGAACUUGGAGAAACUUUUUCAUCCAUCCAAAUCCAUAGAUUUUGGAUGCAAGGAAAGAAGGCCCUCUCUUUGGGUGAUUAGCCUUUGCUUAUGCAAAGAGGAAUCUACAAAGGUAAAUUUCUCAACUCACUUUGAUUUGAGUUGAGUCUUGGUUCACCAAUCUACUAGGCUUUGAAUUUCAUGGGUAAUGUUUUGUUUUUGAGUGCAUGCAAGCAUGUUUCCGCCUUUAAUUGUUAAUUGCAUGCUAUAGAUGUUAUUCAAAUGAACAUGUUUUCACAAAAUCAUCCUUCAAGUGGUAUCAGAGCCUAGGUCUAGUAGUUGGUGAAUCCUUUUGGGUUUUGUAGUUCAUAGUUUGUGAUUUAAAAGUUGUAAUAUGUUACAAGCUUUAUUCUUGUUUCUUUGAAUGUAAAUUUUGUUAGAAAAUUUGCCAUCUCAAAUGUUGUAGAUGUGGUUCAUAUGAGCAUGAAUAUUGGAGCUAAAAUUUGGUGCCAUGAUUUUGGGGAAAUUCGGCCAAAUCCAAAGGGUGGAUUUUUGGGUUCUUGUUUGACUUGUUAAAAGUGUUUUCAAGUAACUUUUGGAACCCCUAUGUACCCUAGUUUGGUUAUAUGUUAUUUCCCUAAAGUUUGAAUGGUUUUGGAAUGUUUUUGGGUGAAAAUGUUCAUGGAAUUUUUUUGAGUUUUUCAUGAAUGUUCUUCAUUGUUCUUGACAUUUUAGCCAAGAACAAAAAGUUUUGUGUUUUGAUUCAAAGUUUUGAUUUAUUUCAUAAAGUUUAUGUUUUAUGAUUUUCAAAUGUUUAAAUGUUUUAGAUAUUUGUUUAAAUGGUGUAAGAGAUAUUGGUGGGUGUGUAAGGAUUAAUUUCCUUUCACACACACCACUUGCACCACUUGAUUGCUUUAUGGCAAAAGUCACAAAUCAACACACACAUCACUCCCUUUCUUCUUCCAAAACCGGCCACCCCCUAGUGGGGGUACUUUUGGGGCCUUUUAUGCAAUUACAUAAAGUUUUGAUACUUUUGUGUAUUUGCACUUUGGCCCAAAAGUUUACGUUUUUACGUUUAGGUCCAAAAACGCUAAAGGACAAAUUGUUUUGCUCCUUUAAUGAAGUUUUUACAUUGUUUAAAUUUUGGGUUCUAGUUGUAUUUACAUGAAGUAGUGGACUUUUGUGUUCUUACAAAGUGACCCCAAAAGUUUAUGUUUUUGCAAUAUGCCCAAAAGGUUGUGGUAAUUGCAUUUUGGCCCAAAUUAGGUUGAGAACAAAAUUGUUUUGUCUCUUUAAAUGAGAAUUGGAUUUUCAUUUCAUUUAGCUCCAUUUAAAUCAAUUUUAUGGAUACAAAAACCAAAUGAAAAUGUUGCAUUCAAUUUAAUUAGUUAAAGUGUUAAUUAAUUAAAGGGUGAUUAUGAACCUAAGCCUAAUAUAAUUGAGCUAUGUGAAAGGCCGUUUCAAAUUUGUUUGAACCAUGAGAAUGUGUAGAUUAGAUUUUGGUUGUAAUUUGAUUUGAUCAAAUGUUGUAAAAGGGCAUAAGCCCUUCUUUACUUUAAGGUAAUUUGUUUUAUGCAAAUGUUGUAAUGAGCAUAAGCUCACCUUUACUUUGAAGUACUUCUUUCUUGCUUUAUUUGAUAUGCAUGAAAAUGAAGUAGUUGGGUCCAACGCCCCUAAGACAACACCCCUUAAUGUGAUUAAACGCGUAACUAAAAUCAAUCUCCAUCCCUAGACCGAGAUUCAACACAAGGCUCGUGUUGAAUCUAAACAAAGGUUCAUAGUCAUCCUUAGGCCCUAAGGCAACUAUAUAGUCCAUCAAAUGAAUGCAAAGGUUAUGUUAGUAGUAUCAUAUACUCUUGCUUUAAAAACCGUUUUAUAAGCAUAGUGGGAGUAUUAUAUACAACUAAACACAAUCAAAUGGACCAAUAGUUGUAAUAGGACCAAAAUUGUUUUAAUUAGAUUAAAAUGAAUAUUUAUAUGUGAUGAGACCUAAAACCCUCAACCAAACCAUUAUUAAGUUGACAAGCGUGAGAGUGCUUUGAACACUCUUUCGUGGCCUUCCACCAUGGUAGCUCCAAUCGUUUAUGACUUGUACACCGCCUUCACCCUAUCAUGGGGGAGUGCAAAGUGCAUGCUUAUACUCAGGAGGAGUCUAUAUACAUACUUGAUGAGGUGAAAGUGUAGGCAACGAGUGAAUGGCCGACAUCGUAUCAUUCGUGAGGCUAUUCUUGAACCCCUUCACGAACUAAGCAUGGUGGGAAUGACUUAACUAAGUGCAAUGGAGCCAACAUCAUACCAUUGUGAGGUGACAUUCUCUAGAGGCCAAAUAAGAUGGGUACUUGCAUUAGUUGCAAAUGAGUAAGCGUACUCUGUCAUUAUUAUUAAUGCUAGCUAACAUCAUAUCAUUGUGAGGUGGGCUUGGUAAUAGUGAGCCUCCCAUACCCUACUAAGAGUUUCAUCCAAAACUCUCGAAUUCCAAUGAGGGAUAUGGAAUUUGCCAAAAAUAGUGGGUGGUGCUAUUUUGAUUUAAAGACCCGAAUCAAAUGGCUUAAAAUCAAUCAAUUUAUAUUCGUUAUGUAUUUGUUUACCAAUAUAUUUGCAAACGCUAUCCAACACUUGACAAAUAAAAGCCGAAAGCUUUUAGUUUCCGUACUUGGUACCACAAUCCCAAAGAAUGUCUUAAAAUGGAUUGCAUAUGUAUCUAAGUAGUCUCAUUCCUCACAAUCUUCCUAUUGAUAAUGUACCAUUGGAAGAAAAUGUUAGAUAAAGGUCUAUCAUAAAGAGGACAACACUUUUAAAUGUCAUAAUUCUUCAAUUACAAAUUGUUGUAUGAAGAAAUAAGGAGUUGCUUUGAACAACCCUUAGUCAAUGCAAACACUUAGUGCUUGUUUCUUUGUUAAAUGAACAAGGAACUUGAGAAGAAAGCACAAAGGCAUGGAACACUUUAUGUGCCAUGAUUCUUCACUUACAAAUUGUUGUAUGAAGAAAUGAGAGUUGCCUUGAACAACUCUUGAAAGUUUGUAAUUAUGUUUAGAAACAUAAUGGUUGGUUGACAAAAAUAGUCCAUCAACAUGGACUUAUGAUGAUUUUGAAUCAUUGAGUGUUGAAGUGAUAAACCACUUAACGAGACGGAAACUAGGCAAGGACUUCACCUUUGUUUCCCUAUCCUAAUCAUUCACUAAGUUUAUUGUAAACUAUGUAGUGAACAAUAACCACAUGCUCUCCAAAAUGUUUUUGAUGUGUACAAACACAAUUGAAAAAGGUUUCAAGAGAGAUAAUGGGAGUUUAGGGACCAUGACUAUUGUAGUCAAAGGAGAAGUCAAAUGAAAGAAGAUAAAAUUAACUCCAAGGGAACAAACUUUCUUUAUGAAAGGAUGGACAUUGGAAGGGGUAUUUGCAAGAAAUGUCUUGCAAGUGUCAAGGAACACACAUUUCGAAGGUGUUGUAAAUUGUUCUUGAAUAGUUCAAAACAGUUGGUUCUUCUACUUGAAUGCUUGAUUCCGUAUUAGUAACUAUGUUUUACAAUCGUUGUAAAAGUGUGACUAAUAAGAAGUAGAAGAUAUAUGAGAGAAGAGAAAGUACUUCACAUUCGGAAGCGUGAAUCAAAUGUAGAUCUCUGCGAAAGCAGAUGGUACUUACUUCCUCAUAUGAACUACCAAAGAAAUUGGAAAAACAAAGAUUGUCUUUAUAUUCCAAUUUUAAGGAAUUUAAAUUCCGUCACUUAUAGUAGAGAAUGGAUGAAAUGUUUUGUUUGACAAAACAAUGUUCUUUAUUAAUCAAUGAUUGGAUUAUGUAAUCUAAUUGAAUUAUCUCUAUAGUAGAGAUAAUAUGGUAGUGUUAACUGUUUAGAAAUAAUAAUGAUGCUUAAAACCCAAAAGGUUGCAAGAUAGUGACUAAUCCCAACUAAAGUUGUGAUACCUUUGAAAACAUAAGUUACGAGUUGGUCAUAGAUGGAUGCUAUGGAUCGUUAGAUCCGGAUCCAAUACCUUUCUUGUUAAAAUUGUAUAGAGGCGAAAUGUUCGAAUCUUUAUUCUUUUGGAAAGAAGAAAGAAUCACAAAGUUGUUGAGGUUAAUUCACUUAGAUGUUAGUGGCACUUGUCCACAAACAUAAUACUACUCAUGUUGUAAUGAACAUUCACCGAAAGAUCACUCUCGGUUGGACUAUAGUUUAUUUUGAAUAAACACAAGUCCGAAUACUUUGCAAAAGUUUCAAAGAAUUCAAGUAAUGUAAGUUGAUGAGUAAGACGUCUAAAGUAUUUACCUCCUUAGAUUUGAUCCAAGAUAAGGUAACACUUUAGAACAGUUUCCUUGAAAGAUAUCAAGGAAAGUAGCAUCAUAAGAUAAUGUAUUUCUCCAUUAGGAGAGAAGAACGAACUCGAAAUAAGAUUUAGUUCGUUAGAUGUUAUCUAUUACCCAUAUAUAGGAUAUAUACUUCUAAAAACAAUAUGAUUGUCAAUUAGAAGAUCUUCCAAAUUUUUCAUGAACUCCAUAAGAUGUAGUUGGAAAAGAAAGACAAAUCUUAAGCAUGUUAAAGAUUUGGGGUUGUGUGCUUAUAAGCAAUAUUUGUUUGAUAACAAACUUGUGGGAUAUCCUUAAAUUAACUUUUGGAUAUCGCUUCUAUAAACCAACUAACAAAUGUUGUUUUGUUGGGUAGUUCAUUGUAAUUCCUACAAUGUGAUUUGCCUAAAAGCAAAUGAACGAGAAGAUAGAACUCAAAGAAUGGGUUCUUUGAGAGACAAGAUAGUAAUCAACAAAUAUAACAACCUAGUUCCUAUACUUCACAAGCUCCAAGGUAGUCGAUAAGGAUUUAUAAACCGUCUCAGUUGAAUGGUUUUGAACUUUAUGACUAUGUUAUAGAGUUGCACCUCUUAAUUCGAAAGAAAUAAGAAUGAAAAUCCUUAUGACUACAUUGAAUGCAUAUACGAUAUAUACUCAAGGAAAUGGUAAAAUACCAUUUGACCCGAAAUAAUGAAACCUUCAUAAGCUAAUUGGUAGCUUAAGGUGACUACAAUCAAAUAGAAUGGUUGACUUUGAAAGGAAACCAUUUUUGAUGAUAGUCUUAGUUUCAAUUAAUUCGAAGAUUGCUAGCUACAACUAAAUGGUGAUUCAAUGUUUGGACAUAAUAUGGGUUUCCGAAACCAUUAUUAAGAUAGUCUUGAUAAUAUAUGUCUAAAACUAUAAAUCACAAGACAUGUAAGUUGUAGAGAUCCAUCCAUCAUGGAAUCUUAGCAAGUUAGUGGGAGCUAUUUGCAUUUAUGAGAAAAAGGAUCAAAUCGUUUGAUUUCUCAUAAAGAUGCAAAUGAAAUCUUUUGUUUACUAGGUUUACAAAAGAUUAGUGGGAGUUGAAUCAUGUUCCUAAAAUUUAAAUAUAUAUGAUAUAUUAAUUUUGGAAAUGAAAUGAAUACUUCUUUGUUAAAGUUAUGACUUUAAUACAUUAUAUGAAGAUAGAAUGUAUAUGGGAGUUAAUCAUGUUCCUAAAAUUUAAAUAUAUAUGAUAUAUUAAUUUUGGAAAUGAAAAGAAUACUUCUUCGUUAAAGUUAUGACUUUAAAACAUUAUAUGAAGAUAGAAAUGUAUAUGGGAGACAUAGUCUAUAUACAUGGGAUGGAAAUCUAUAAUGAUAGAUUUUAGGAUAUAAUUUGGAUUAUAUCAAUCCCUAAUAAUAGACAAUGAGAUGCUAGGAAGUUUCUCAUAUGAUGAUAAACUUCAAUCAAGAAGGACGAUUCUAGUGAGACUAAGCAAGUUGCCUCUUCUCAAAGGGAAUGUACCCUUUGACUCCCAAAGAAAUAAAUGCGUAAAUAUGAAUCCUUUAUGCACUAGCGGAAAGGUGAUUUAUGUAUUUCAUAUUGUAUGAAAAACAUUGAUAUGAGUUGUACCUAGAACGGUACAAGACGAUAUCAGUGCAAGCCCAGGAUCAGAACCAUGGCAACUGUCAAGUGAGUCCUUAAGUAUUUAAAAAAAUACUAAAGGAUAGAAUUCCUCAAAGAAUCGAGGAAGAAUUAGAAGUAACGUAAUGGAAGCGUAAAUGUAUUAGAUUAUGAAUCUAAUCCAUCAUUGGAUGUUUCUUGAUUAUGAAUGAAGAGAUAAACAGAUAUCUCUUUAUUAUGACUAAAGAGAUAUUUGGAUGGAAACAUUAAAGUAAUGACUUUAGUGUGUUCCAUUAUGAAUGCAAGAUAUAUUGCCAUAUAGAAGUUUACAACAAUGUUGUUUGGAUGGGAAAGUUCAUUUAUGAACUCUCUAUUCGGUUCCAACCAGAAAGUGUAUGACACUAAUGGGGCGAUAGCUCAAGCCUGGGAAUCAAGGUCUCAUCAAGAUCCGAACACAUAUGAGAGACUGAAACCACAUGAUUGAGAAUCAUGUAUAAUGGUGACGUCGUUAUUCUCAAGGUUGCUUCUAUGGAUAACACAUAUAGAUAUCCAUUGCCUAGGCCUACUACUUCAGUCCAUUUAUGAAAUGACUACAGAAGAGGUAUCAUCACUGAUGACCAAGCUGAUUGGCUCUAGUGCAAGUGGGAGAUUGUUGGAAAUGUGCCCUAAAACCAAUCAUGUGAUGAUACUUUACGGACAUUUCACAUGUUAAACUAAUCUAGUUUUACAUAUCAAAGGGCAAAGAUUAUUGUUUUAAGCCGUCUCAUAUAAAUGUUAUAUGCUUAAACGAUAAAGUCCAAGGAAUAUGUGAUUGGGAGAAUGUAAUCUAAAGAAGUUAGAUUUAUGAGACCAUUCUUUCGUAGACACAUCCUAAACGUUCCUGAUCAUAGGAUUGCCAAUUGGGCGUUGACAGUCCGUUAAGAUCAGUACGUACUAUGUCUUCUCUCAGGGAGAGUGACUUAGUCUCGAAUCAUUGGUGUGUGUGACAUCAAGACAAGUACGGUAGGUGCUCAAUAGAGAAUGAGUUCACUGAACACGAUCAACGAAGAGGUUCUCAUAUUCCAUGUCACAUGAGAACUCAUGGUUGGGAUAAUGCAAAGUAGUCCUUUGACCUGAGGCAUCAUAGUUGUCUUGUGGUUAAGACCUUGAUCUUUGAUUAUGUCAAAGUCACUCCAUCAGAGGGUGUCCACGGCAUCGUUGGGGUUAAGCCACUUAGUCAUGGAGACAAGUGAAUGCGCAACAAGGGAUCUCUAACCUUCAAAUGGUUUGAGGGAGAAUACUCUAUGAUAUGAUUUAGAACCUCUGGCCAGAGUAUGAAUGA
rnacentral:lncRNA from 1 species